AACAAGGUCAGGGAUAUUCUAGACAUACUCGACCUGGGUAAAUGAUCUUCAAUUAUCACGAAAUUUUUAUUGGAUAUAGAUUGGAACCUAAUGAACAACUUUCAUUUAGGCAUCAAUUUUAGAAUCUAAUCACAAAAAAUCAUGUGAAAAUGGCAAACAGCACAGGUCAUUAAAGGCAUGAAAACAGAACACUUCAUUUACAAACUGUAGCUCCAUUUUUUAACAAUUGUUGAAUCCAAUAAAUGCUGACCAAAUCCAAGAGC
rnacentral:lncRNA from 1 species